rnacentral:rRNA from 1 species
UACGUAGGGCGCAAGCGUUAUCCGGAAUUAUUGGACGUAAAGAGCUCGUAGGCGGUUUGUCGCGUCUGCCGUGAAAGUCCGGGGCUCAACUCCGGAUCUGCGGUGGGUACGGGCAGACUAGAGUGAUGUAGGGGAGACUGGAAUUCCUGGUGUAGCGGUGAAAUGCGCAGAUAUCAGGAGGAACACCGAUGGCGAAGGCAGGUCUCUGGGCAUUAACUGACGCUGAGGAGCGAAAGCAUGGGGAGCGAACAGG